AGUGAACGCUGGCGGUAGGCCUAACACAUGCAAGUCGAACGGCAGCACAGUAAGAGCUUGCUCUUACGGGUGGCGAGUGGCGGACGGGUGAGGAAUACAUCGGAAUCUACUUUUUCGUGGGGGAUAACGUAGGGAAACUUACGCUAAUACCGCAUACGACCUACGGGUGAAAGAAGGGGAUCUUCGGACCUUGCGCGAUUGAAUGAGCCGAUGUCGGAUUAGCUAGUUGGCGGGGUAAAGGCCCACCAAGGCGACGAUCCGUAGCUGGUCUGAGAGGAUGAUCAGCCACACUGGAACUGAGACACGGUCCAGACUCCUACGGGAGGCAGCAGUGGGGAAUAUUGGACAAUGGGCGCAAGCCUGAUCCAGCCAUGCCGCGUGGGUGAAGAAGGCCUUCGGGUUGUAAAGCCCUUUUGUUGGGAAAGAAAAGCAGCAGGUUAAUACCCCGCUGUUCUGACGGUACCCAAAGAAUAAGCACCGGCUAACUUCGUG
rnacentral:rRNA from 1 species